CCCUCGGCCCCGUCCCCUCCCCCGCUCCCCCCGUCCCCUCCCCGUGCCCGGGGGGCUCCGCAGGCCCCGGAGCCGCCGCUCCCCGUUCCCAGCUGCCCCUUCCCGCUGGAAGCGGCUCUUCCACCUUUCCCGGCAACCCCCGAUCCCAAUUUUCCCUCCCCCACCCCCCCAUCCCCUCUCCCACCUCUUUUCCCCCCCAAAUCUCCCCGUGUGCUUUUGGGGGCCGGCUCCAAAACCAGCAGGAAUUUUAGGAUCCCGAUAAAGGCAACGCGCCGAUAUUUUAUCGAUCGUUUUUAUGUUUAUUGAUCGCGAGGCUUCCCAGCCUCUCCCUGCGUGCUCUGAAUCCCCAGGGAACAAAGCAAACCUUGGAUUCCCCAUGGAAAAGCUCUUCCCCCUCCGCCCCCUCCGCUUCCUUCCCCUCCGGACCGGACACUUCACCGCAGGGCCCUUCCCGCACCACGCGAACCCCAGAAGGGCUGGAAAAUCCCGCUCCACGAGAAGCCCUCCUCUCCCGGCUGCUGGGAUUUUCCCCUUCCCGCAGUUCGUAUCCAGGGAUUUUAACGCCGCUGCCACUGCCAGAACCAUCCCGGCCCUGCCGCUCCUCCCUCGGGAUGCGCCGCUGCCGCCGGGAAUCGCCCGGGGAAGCCGCGCUCGCUCCUCCGGUUGGCCGGGAAUGAUCCCAAAUCCCGGGCUGGCGGGAGAGGAGCCGCCCCCAGGGAUGGGAUCGUCUCCCGCUGUGGAUUCCCCCCUGAGCCGGGGGGGACACCAGACCCCCCCCAAAUCCCGCUGCUCCUGGAGGAAAAUCCAUCCUCAUCCUCCAGGGAACCACCGGAGACGGGAAUUCUCCAUCCUCAGAGCUUCCGGCUCCUCCACCCAGCCUGGCCGAGACCCCGGAUCCCCAAAAACCGGGGAGUGAGCAACGCCGGGGAGCAGCUUCAGCCUUUGCCCCCUCCCGGAUUGAAGCCGCAGCUCCCAAACCACCGGCAGCCCUUGGGAUUGGGGUUUCCCUGGAAUUUUGACCGGGAAAAAAAUCCCAUGCAGGCAGCUCGGGCUGGGCUUUAAACCCGCAGCCGGGAGGGGGUUUCCCAGGUUUUGGGGUUGUUAAUCCCAUUGUUUUCCUCCUCCUCCUCCUCCUCUUCCCGGGGCACUUUUGGGAUUUGGAGCCUCCCACGCUUGGAUUUGGGAUUUGGAGCCUCCCCGCCCCCAUCCCAAGCUGGGCAGGCGGGAGGGGUUGUGCAGCAGGAAAUUUGGGGGAGUUUUUCCUAAAUCCGGGUUGGGUUUUCGUGGGUUUUUAGCGGUCAGAGGGUGGAAGCUCCUCAGAGCAUCCCAGGGUGGGAUUUAUCUCCCUGGGGAUCCUGCCGGCAUUCCUGGAGGGAAGAAAAUAUCCCGGGGAUCUUAAGGACUUCAAGGAUUUAAUCCUGAAAUAUUUUGGGAUGGGGUUUAAACCCGUGCCUUGGAAUUACCCUCCCCUCCCCCUCCCCAAAUCCAGAGCUGCUGGAAUCCCGGAUUUCCCAAGGAGAGGAGGGAAUUACCGGGAUUACCCAAACCAGACCCCAAAACCGCCCCCAGCAACCCCAAAUCCGCGGUUCCUUUGCUGCUGAGCGAUUCCCGGUGCCGGGAUGGGGAAGGAAAACGCUGCUCCAGGAGGGAUUUAGGGCAGGGAUCCAUCCCAAAAUCCCGGUGCUGGCUCUGGGUUCCCUCCUGCCCCGGCUCAGGGAAGGAUUUGCUGAUUUAAGCCUGGUUUAAUAAAUUUUGUUUAUUUUAA